UUCUUUCUCUCUCCCCUGUGUUUUCAUCCCAAUUUCUCUCCCCAUUCGACUACCUUCUCCCUCAUUUCUCUCCCCUUUCACUAGCCAUCACCAUCUCGCUCACUCUCGUUACUCAACCUACGCCUCGCACCGACAGUGGCAACAACCUACUAUUGCAAGAUGUGCGGCCGCACGGCUUCUGGCUCACUCGGUUGGAUCUCUCUUAUUCUUCUCUCAGUUUGAGGUGGUCAAAUAAAAAAGUGCCCUCAAGGUGUUCGACGAAAAGCCCGUGAGACAAUCGAAGGAACAUGUUUUUGCUAAUACCUUGUCUGCAAAUUUUUUCUACUUCAAUUUGAUGGUUUCAUUGAUUUGGAUACGCUGCAACUUCUAGCAGAUGGAAGAUGCUAUACAUCCAUUAUUUAUAAUAAGAAUUGAGUAAACGCAGCAUGACUGGAGGAAGAUAAUUCGUGUCAAGAAUUUGUUGUAGUGUGUAAAGAUGAUUGCGAAGACAAGUGAGCUUCCAUCUCAUAACUAAAAAGAAAAGUAGUUAUGUGGCCUAUGGUCAACAAUGUUUUAUUGAUGCUUUAAUUUUUUAUUUGUUUUUUACGAGAGUUCCAUGAUCUUUGGACAUUAAAGGCAACAUGUUUCAAGGGUUUGGGACAAGCAUAAUCUUCUUCAAGAACAAGAUGAAAAAAUAGCAACUUGCAUGAUCUUUCCGAACCCAAAGAAGUCGACAAUUAGGGAUGCAACUAAUUGAUGGAUGAGUUUCUUUGUUGAGGUUGGUGUGUGAGACUUGUUUAAUUCUGUAAUUUGUAUUUGUAGAAAUUUGAAAAUGUUUAAUAUAAUGUACUAGCAAGUCCGAGAAUACUUUUGUUAUCUAAA